GGGUCUUGCUCAGGGGCCCAACAGUAGCAAGCUGGCAGUGAUGUGACCUGAACCAGCAACCUUCUGAUUACUAGUCAGAUACCACUACCACUGCCUGUGAUCUGUAUAUCAUGUUAUAUCUUGUGUGUGUGUUUUCAUGUGUGUUCUCUCACAGAACAUAAGUUAGAAGGUUGGAGGAGCAGAAGGCACCAAACUUGAUUACUUCAAACAAAUGAAGAAGGUGAAUAAUGUCUGUAUAUCCAGAAAUGGAGAAGAAAGUGGACACCACAAGCAGAGCAGUGCUGGACAUUAUGACCAAAACUACAGAAUACCUACCACCCAACCCAGCCUCCAGAGCGAAGCUCAGUAUGAUAAACACGAUGUCUAAGAUCCAUGGGCAGGAGAAGGGGCCAGGAUACCCUCAGACUGAGAGUUUGCUGGGAGACACCGUGCAGAGAUACGGACGGGACCUUGGAGAGGAGGCCAGCUUUGGUCCGUGGCCGUUCUCAGUGAGUGUAUGAGGAACAAGGUUGUGGUGAAGUUCUUGCGUGAGCAUCAGGAGAGUCUGAGCCACUCCCUCCCUCUGAGCUCCUGUCUGCUGUAACCAUCUUCCAGGUCCUUCCCAUCCUUUCUUGCCAACCUCAGCCAACUGCUGAGCCAUUUCUUCUCCAAAUGCUUUGAGCUCUUGUUGCACUUUCUCUCUGUCUUGCUGACUACACACAUCAUCUUGUUCCCUCUGCACCUUCUGAUUCUUUCUGCAGAACAUCCUGUUUCCUUUCCAGUUUUUCUUCCAUUCUUCUCAUUUCCCGUCGUACGUCGUCUUGUAUCUGUGUUGCUUGUUCUUCUGCUAUUGUUCUUCUAUUCUUACUUCUAAUUACUUCUAUUCUUAGUACUCGACUGUAGUUCGUGUCUCCAUUUGUCCUUCCUGUAUGGAGUGUUUGGAUGAAAUUCUGCUUCUGGACUUAUGUGAGUUCCCUCUAGAAAUGGAGUUGCCCUGUUAUUUGUUGAAUGAAGGGGUUCCACUGGGCUUAGGAGGGCUGGGUUUAAUUGAGAUGUCCCACUCCUAGAUGGAUAGCCUGGUGUCCUCAGUUCUUCUGUUGGGUGUCUGGCUUUCAUCAGGUGAUUUUAUUCUCGUGGUACCCCUCAUUUUCACUUCUGCUUCCACCCAUUCUCUUGUUGCUAAUACUGGGUAUGUUCUUGCUGUUUUCUUCUGGUUUGGGACGGAGGGUGGUGGUUUCUCUUUUACUGUUUGAGGUUGCUCACAGCACAUCUCUGCUUCAUUUUUCUUUUUGUAUUCCAGUUAUUUUUCUUUAACUUAUCUUGCGUGUUUUUCAAAUGCUCGUAAUAUUACCAGUUCCCAUUGUUGUUUGAUCUCUUGAGUUUUCUUUGUGCUCUUCACCUGCUCUAUAAGUCCCGUAGCCAUUUGGCAGGUUUCUUCAUCAAAGGAUCCUCUCACAGGCCAAUGUGUGUCCU